AAAACUUUCAACAACGGAUCUCUUGGUUCCAGCAUCGAUGAAGAACGCAGCGAAAUGCGAUAACUAAUGUGAAUUGCAGAAUUCAGUGAAUCAUCGAGUCUUUGAACGCACAUUGCGCCCCUCGGUAUUCCGGGGGGUAUGCCUGUUCGAGCGUCAUUA
rnacentral:rRNA from 1 species